UCCUGCAAGUUUUUGAAGAAGGAGAUCAAUAAUCCGAAACCAGUUUUAUGCAAAGAACUAAGACCUGUUUAGCAUACACUGAUAUGUCCAUCAUUUUCAAAACUUGUAUAUGCCAAGGUACCACUUUGGAAGCAACAUAUAAGAACCAUGACAUACAUAUUCAAUGUUCAUUGCAUAUAUAAGUUGAAUUGUGAAAUGAGAUCAUUGCAGGGCAUGUUUGUGCCACAAUUUACUAUCAACUGAAAGAUAUAAAUGCUUACUAAAGCAUACAUAUAUAUAACACUAAGAGCUGUUGGCUUACCUUGCAGAUUUAGAAUGUGGAAGCUUAUAGUAUCCAGCAUGGUGAGCAAAAUUUUGAAUAGAAGGACCAGGAGCAUCAAUAACUGGGAAUUUGAAUUGCUUUUCAACAAUCUUUGAAGGCUCAUUUGUAAGGUCUUCAUUGACACCUUCAUUAGCAGCAUGUCUUGGGAACAAAUUAAGCCCUCGUAUGAGCUUUUCUGCUUGUAUUUUUGCAGUGGGAGAUGACUGAAGUUGGGUUUUCCAUGGUGAAACAGCCUUGGCCAACAAUGGUGAAACCAGCAAAAAAAGUGAAAGCAAAAUGAGUUUUUCAAAGAAAGUUGAGGCCAUUUCUUUUCUCUUUCUUUGUGGGGUCUUAAUCUUUUUGGGAGAUUGCUGCAAAAUCUUGUUUGGUUUAUAUAGAGUUUGAUGGAACCACCUCCACUAGGGGACAAAGUCCAUUGAUUUUGCAUGCUUAAGUCUUGAAUAAUCUCCAUGUGAUUUACAUUAUUGGUUUUUUUUUAUUUUCUACUUUAGAAGUCUAUAUAGCAUUAAAUGUUGCGAGGAAAUUGAAGAAUAUCUCAAAUCUUUG
rnacentral:lncRNA from 1 species